rnacentral:rRNA from 1 species
AUAUUGGGCGUAAGCGCGCGCAGGUGGUUUCUUAAGUCUGAUGUGAAAGCCCACGGCAAACCGUGGAGGGUCAUUGGAAACUGGGAGACUUGAGCGCAGAAGAGGAAAGUGGAAUUCCAAGUGUAGCGGUGAAAUGCGUAGAGAUUUGGAGGAACACCAGUGGCGAAGGCGACUUUCUGGUCUGCAACUGACGCUGAGGCGCGAAAGCAUGGGGAGCAAACAGGAUUAGAUACCCUGGUAGUCCAUGCCGUAAACGAUGAGUGCUAAGUGUUAGGGGGUUUCCGCCCCUUAGUGCUGCAGCUAACGCAUUAAGCACUCCGCCUGGGGAGUACGACCGCAAGGUUGAAACUCAAAGGAAUUGACGGGGGCCCGCACAAGCGGUGGAGCAUGUGGUUUAAUUCGAAGCAACGCGAAGAACCUUACCAGGUCUUGACAUCCCGAUGACCGCUCUAGAGAUAGAGUUUUCCCUUCGGGGACAUUGGUGACAGGUGGUGCAUGGUUGUCGUCAGCUCGUGUCGUGAGAUGUUGGGUUAAGUCCCGCAACGAGCGCAACCCUUAAUCUUAGUUGCCAUCAUUUAGUUGGGCACUCUAAGGUGACUGCCGGUGAUAAACCGGAGGAAGGUGGGGAUGACGUCAAAUCAUCAUGCCCCUUAUGACCUGGGCUACACACGUGCUACAAUGGACGGUACAAAGAGUCGCUCACUCGCGAGAGUAUGCUAAUCUCAUAAAACCGUUCUCAGUUCGGAUUGUAGGCUGCAACUCGCCUACAUGAAGCCGGAAUCGCUAGUAAUCGCGGAUCAGCAUGCCGCGG